GCUCCAGUGGUGCAAUCGGUUUAGCGUGUGGUACUUAUAAGACAAUACGAUGCUUAGCAAUGCCGAGGUUGUGAGUUCGAGCCUCACCUGGAGCA
rnacentral:tRNA from 1 species